rnacentral:lncRNA from 15 species
UCGACACUCGACCUGGACGCCAUCCUGAGACUGUUCAGACAGGAGAACAUAAAUGGAGAUGUAGAAACCGACAUCCACGUCAGGAGGAGAGACGUGCUCCACAGCGCUCUGAAGGCGGUGAGGAGGCCGGACUUCUGUUUCAGGACGACGCCCAUCGUCACCUUCAGUGGAGAGGAGACUGAUGGACACGAGGGACCUCUCAGAGAGUUCUUCAGAUUGACUUUGCUGGAGUUGCAGGAAAGUUCUGUGUUUGAGGGUCUCCCGGGGCGCCUGUUCUUGACCUAUGACCUAACAGCUCUUGAAGCCAGGAAGUAUUACGAAGCAGGCGUCCUGAUUGGCUGGUCUCUGGCUCAUGGUGGGCCUGGACCUCGUUGUCUACACCCUGCACUUUACCAGUUGAUGUGUGGCCAGAAUCCAUCUUUGGACGACUUCAGCUGGAGUGACAUUGCUGAUGCUGAAGUACAGAUCCGACUGCAACAGGUAGCACACACGCAGAAACCUCACAUGCCUGUACUUCAAACUGACAGAAUAAACUAUAAGAUAAAAGUUUUCACACAAUUCAAUUCUAUCACCACAUUCAGAAAAUAAAAUGAGUAAAAAAUGUGGUUAAGUUCCAAAAAACUACGCAACGUGAAUUACAUUUUCUUGUCUCUGCCUUUUUUAAAUGAUGCAUGAAUCUAUUAUCUAUAGGUUUGGAAGAGCAACUAUUUCCAGAUUUCUUGUUUUUUAAUUACACUGUUCCAGUUCCAUGUCAGUAGAGCAAAACUGAACACAAAUAUAUUUACCAAACCGGUUUGCUUUCCUGUCGGGGACUUUCGUGUCAUGUCAUAUCCUCUUUCUCUCUCCCUUAUUUUCUGUCACGUCUCAAUUGUCCCCUAUCAAAUAGAGAAAAAUGCCUCAAAAAUGUAAUCUGUGCAGUACCGCACACACACACACACACACACACACACACACACACACACACACACACAGACACACAAACACACACACACAGACACANNNNNNNNNNNNNNNNNNNNUGAGACAGUUGAUGUGUGGCCAGAAUCCAUCUUUGGACGACUUCAGCUGGAGUGACAUUGCUGAUGCUGAAGUACAGAUCCGACUGCAACAGCUGCAUAGUUGUACUGAGGUACAGCUGCUGCCUCCCAGUCUGUGUGACUGGGUGUCAAGCUGUGGUAUCCCUGGAAUCUAUUCAGCCCACUCUGAUGAAAUACCAGCCAUCUAUAAACGCCUUGUCAAACAUUACAUCUAUCACAGGGUGGCCAAUAUGAUCUCCCAGUUCACCGAGGGGCUGAAAAGCUGUGGUGGAUUGUGGGAUACGGUACUGACCCACUGGGAGGUGUUUUUGCCUGUGAUGACGAGCACACAGCAGCAGCCUCUGAGCCCGGAAGAGUUCAAAAUGCUUUUCACCGCCUGCUACAGCUGUCCGGACAGCCAGCUGAGGGCAGCUGAGGAGGCAACAGCCGGACACUGGGAAACAGUCCUCACCGCAAUCAGCGAUGGUCAGGCAGAUUUUUCCUUUGAAAACCUGCUCGCCUUCAUCACAGGAGCUGAUCAUCUGCCUCCUCUUGGGUUUCCCAGAUUGAUCUCCCUGCGGUUUUACUCUCAGGUUGGUAUCUAUCAGAUCAGCUCAAAUCCAGGUGAUAUGAGUUAUAGGAAAUCAUGGACCGCUGAUCUUGAUCUUGAUCUCAACUGUGUGAACCUGCCUCUGCCAAAACUUGAAAUGACGGACCAGAAUUUCAAAACAGUAAAUUCAAACAAAAUAAAUUCAGAUAGAUGUUUUUCAAAGUAA